GAUGGAGUGUGUGGGGUUCCUGUAGUGUCACAUGUGGUGUUGGUCUGAGGAGAAGGGACCGUUACUGCGAUAGCCCGUACCCUUCUAAGGACGGUAAUCACUGCUUCAGAGACGGAAUCAACUAUGAUAUCUGCACUGGACCAUCCUGUUCAGUGCAUGGCGGUUGGGGCGGAUGGAGUGCAUGGGGUCAUGCAGUGUCACAUGCGGUGUUGGUCUGAGGAAGAGGGAUCGCAACUGCGACAGCCCAUACCCCGCCAUAGAUGGUAACUACUGUAUCGGAGACGGAAUCAACCAUGAUAUCUGCGCAGGACCAUCUUGUUCAGCUUGGGGUACCUGGAAUUCUUGGAGCUCCUGUUCCAACACAUGUGGACAGGGUCUCAUGCAGCGU